GGAGAGAUGCGAGAGUGGUUGAAUCGGCAUGAUUGGAAAUCAUGUGUACGUGAAAGCGUACCGUGGGUUCGAAUCCCACUCUCUCCGCCA
rnacentral:tRNA from 1 species